UUUUAGAAAGAAAAACUUUCAACAACGGAUCUCUUGGUUCUCGCAUCGAUGAAGAACGCAGCAAAGCGCGAUAGGUAAUGCGAAUUGCAGACGUGAGUCAUUGAAUCUUUGAACGCACAUUGCGCCAGUUUACUGGCAUACUGCGUUGAGCGUCG
rnacentral:rRNA from 1 species